rnacentral:rRNA from 1 species
AUUGAACGCUGGCGGCAUGCUUUACACAUGCAAGUCGAACGGCAGCGCGGGGGCAACCCUGGCGGCGAGUGGCGAACGGGUGAGUAAUGCAUCGGAACGUAUCCUGUAAUGGGGGAGUAACGUAGCGAAAGUUACGCUAAUACCGCAUACGCUCGAGAGAGGAAAGUGGGGGAUCGCAAGACCUCACGUUAUAGGAGCGGCCGAUGUCCGAUUAGCUAGUUGGUGGGGUAAAGGCCUACCAAGGCGACGAUCGGUAGCUGGUCUGAGAGGAUGAACAGCCACACUGGGACUGAGAUACGGCCCAGACUCCUUUGGGAGGCAGCAGUGGGGAAUAUUGGACAAUGGAGGAAACUCUGAUCCAGAGAUACCGUGUGAGUGAAGAAGGCCUUAACUGGUCGUAAAGCUCUUUUAGUGGGGAAGAUAAUGACGGUACCCACAGAAAAGUGUCGGCUAACUCUGUG